ensembl:lncRNA
CCAACGUAUCUAAAAUACUGCUUUUCAACAUGGAAUCGUAUGUAAAUUAUUAGUAUGUUUUCACACAUUCUUCUCUUUACACUGGGCCUUUGCAUUCAGAGUACCACUCCAGGAGCCCAGCUGAUAUAUGGCUGCCUCCUGGGAAGGAGCCUGGGCACACAAGAGCCCCGUGCCCACUGGAGCCCGUGGUGGAGAUCGGGCUCCUUCUGCCGUGUCAGGGCGGCAGGCUCCAAGGAGGCUCUCAUGUGUGCAGAUGCACUGUCUCUUCAGUUGUGUCUGACUCUCUGCAACCCUGUGGACUGUAGCCUGCCAGGAUCCUCUGUCCAUAGGAUUCCCCAGGCAAACAUACUAGAGUAGAUUGCCAUGCUCACUUCUAGGGUAUCUUCCUGACCCAGGGAUGGAACCUGCAUCUCUUACAUCUCCUGCAUUGGCAGGCAAGUUCCUUACCACUAGUGCCACCUGGGAAGUCUGAGACUCUCCUGACUGCCCCCCAAAUACCACAUCAGGGUGCCGGAGAACGCUGAGAUGGGCAUCAGGAGCCCCCUCAAGGCCUGCCAUCCUCCACCUUGGGCCCGGCCUCUGUACCUCACCUGUGGGCUGGCCUGGGCCCCGAGCCUUGGAAACAUGCUCCAGGCAGGGAAGAUGAGUGACCACAGGCCUCAGUUUCCCUGUUUCCUUUCAGCCUGGCCUGAGAUCUGAUGCCCACUGGCAGGGACAGAGAUGCCCAGUGUCUUACUCUGUUCAGGCUAUUGUAACAAGAUACCACAGACGGUGGCUGUAGAGAGCAUAGUUUUCUCUCUUGGUCCUGGAGGCUGGCAGUCUGAGGUUGGGUGCCAGCAUGGUUGGGUUCUGGUGGGGCCCACAUCCAGGUCCUGUUCCUCAUGGGUAGGGCACAGCUGUGAGGGCGCUAAUUCUGCUAGUGCGGGCCUCACCCUCGAGACCCAGACACUUCCCAGGGCCCUACCUCCCUGACUGGGGUUAAGUUUCAACACAGGAAUUUGGGGGCCUCAAGCGUUCAGGCCACAGCAUCUGCGUGGCUCUCAGGCACCCUGCAGCCACGUUCCAGGUGCUUUCAUCACAGGCACCCUCUGGGGUAGGGGAGGAACAGACGCCCCUGUGGAUCCCCUUGCAGGCCUGGCUGCAGAUGGUGAUGGCCCAGCUUCCUCCUGGGAAGCAAGGUCUCCUAUCCUGGAGACCUGGGUCCCCCUGCAGGCCCGCACAGCACCGUCAAACACAUGCUCUGCAGGGAAGAUCCUCAUGCUGUCCAGGCUCCUUGCCAAGCCCGCCAGCCAGGCCAUGAGUCCAAAUGCUCAGACAGAGACGCUGCUGUCAGGGCUGGACUCUGACUCCCAAGAGGAAGUUCAAAAUGAAACAGUUUCACUAGUGAAAGAAAAGUUGCAGAGCCAAGCGCAGAUACCAGAAGUGGGAAAGCAGCGCUCUGAGUGCUUCCACCAGAUGGUGCGACUUGAAUGGAGGCAGCUUUUUACCUGGCACGAUGGAGCGGCCCCAGACUCGGGGACUGCUGGCAGAGCUGGGUCCUGGUCGAGUUGUCCACCGGCUCGUCCAAGUUAAAUAUUACUCACCGAGAUGCGAGCCCACUGGGCAGUGCUGGCCUGGAGGUGGACCGGUCUGGGGAAGUUUUUCCCAGCAGCAAAGUAGAGGAACUGGGGUCUGGUGGCUGGACCCCUCCUCCUCUGGGGAAGAACCACCUGCUUCCCCUGGCAGCUUCUCCAUCCACCUACCAGUCAGUGACGGGCUGUGGCUCUGAGGUCCUUCCCGGCUGGCUUGGAGCAGGGUCCCCCAGACGGCCAUCCUCUGGGGCAGCAGAGCUGGGGGACUCACCAGGGCCAACCUCCCGCCAGCACCUGCCCCACUCUCCACGUGGACCCCAACGGGACCUGACCGCACCCAGCCUCAGGGCCUUUGCACCUACUGUGCCCUGCACUCACCUCUUACCCAUCACAGGGCACUGCUGGAAUGGACCUCCUGAGGAGCACUAUCUCCCUCGCUUGGUACCCCACCCACCUUCCCCGGCCCCAGUCUGUUCUUAAAAGCAUAUACCCCCGACUAAUACAGAACAUCUGGAAGUUUCAUUUUUCAUUGUCUCCCAUGAAAACAGAACCACUGGAGAACAGGAAUUCUUUCCUGCCUGUCUACAUGCGUAUCACAGUUUGGCCCUUGAUAAACCUGGUGGGGGAGACCGAUUCCAUAGUCAUGCCUAGUAUGGGGGUCUCACCCACAGUCACACAUCGCCUCUCAGGGCCAGAGCCCCCGGCCCACACUUGAAUCUCAGCCUAGGGUCCAAGAAUUCCGAACAGGGUCCCCUGUGAGAGGCCCGCAGGGUGUAAAGGAGACGCGGGGCUGUGGCUGUCCCAGAAGUCUGAGCCACCACAUAAAACCCUACAGGAGGGAGCUGUCUGGUGGCCUAAUGGUUAGGAUUCCUGGCUUCACUACCUGGAAACCCUGACCAAGGAACUGAGAUCCCUAAAGCCAUGCAGAGUAGCCAAUAAAAUAAAAUAAAAUAUUAAAACAAAAACAAAACCAAGGAAGAG